UACGUAGGGUGCGAGCGUUAAUCGGAAUUACUGGGCGUAAAGCGUGCGCAGGCGGUGAUGUAAGACAGGUGUGAAAUCCCCGGGCUUAACCUGGGAACUGCAUUUGUGACUGCACGGCUGGAGUGCGGCAGAGGGGGAUGGAAUUCCGCGUGUAGCAGUGAAAUGCGUAGAUAUGCGGAGGAACACCGAUGGCGAAGGCAAUCCCCUGGGCCUGCACUGACGCUCAUGCACGAAAGCGUGGGGAGCAAACAGG
rnacentral:rRNA from 1 species